UACGGAGGGGGCUAGCGUUGUUCGGAAUUACUGGGCGUAAAGCGCACGUAGGCGGAUCAGUCAGUCAGAGGUGAAAUCCCGGAGCUCAACUUCGGAACUGCCUUUGAUACUGCUGAUCUAGAGUCCGGGAGAGGUGCAUGGAAUUCCGAGUGUAGAGGUGAAAUUCGUAGAUAUUCGGAGGAACACCAGAGGCGAAGGCGAUGCACUGGACCGGUACUGACGCUGAGGUGCGAAAGCGUGGGGAGCAAACAGGAUUAGAUACCCGUGUAGU
rnacentral:rRNA from 1 species